rnacentral:lncRNA from 1 species
AUUAAGGGAAAUUUCGUGUGAACUUUUUUCACACUAAAAUUGAAUCCGGCUGGAGAUUGAUUGGUUUAAAGCGGGACUUGAUAUUGAUUAGGGUUGGCCAAGGCGCAGGCUUGUAUUGACCUAUGAAGUUCACUGACCACAAAGAUCGAAAAUGGAUUCGUUUGCAUUUCUUAACUUGGAAAUUCCUAUUACAGCAAGGCAUAUCAAAACCGCCUAGAAGAGGGGGAGUCUCCUAACAAUCAUUCCCCCUAUUUAGAAUUUUUUGUUUUUAUUUUUUCUAUCAAUUCUUUUACUAAGUGAUGUUUGUUUUUUUGACUUUUUGUUGAAAGUAAUUUAGUUUUACAAUUUAGGUUGUUUGUUUUUUUACUUUUUCAUAACUUAUUAUAAACUUUUUACUAAAUAGAAAAAAUUAAAAUAUGUAACUUUUUUCAAAUAGAAAAAAUAAUAUAUUGAUUUUUUUUAUUUUUUAAUACUUAAUAGAAAUAAAAUACUAUAAAAACAAAUAACCUAAUAUUUAACACUAUUAAAUAUUAAUGUUCUAUUUAGAAUUAAGUAAAAAAACAAACACCACCUAAAUAUUUCUUACAUACAUAACACUCUAUCAAUAAGUAAAAUAAAUGCGAAUCACGUAUUAAUGGAACAACAUUUUCCAAUCAAGAAUUAUAUUAAUGUUGGACUACACAAUUCACAAACUUAAAUAUUCUUUACUUUUGAUAAAAACAAAAUUGGAAAUUACCCAUCUUUUUCAAGGAAUAUACAAUCAAACUUUAGCUCAAAUUCUUUAUACAUAUACUUAUUAAAAUAUGAUAAUUUUUUUAGCAAAGAUAAAUACAAAGAAAAUGAACUAAUGAAGAGAUAGAAAAUAAAGUAAUGACACCAAAAUUUAAUAUGACAAAAUAUCAAUAAAGAUAAAAAACUAUAGGCCUACAAGAAAUCAAGAACAUCUACUACGAAGAAAAACUAACCCAGUACAAGGUUUUAUUUAAUUCAAGUCUACAUAUCCUGCUUGAACUACUUGAUCAACAUCUUCCAACUUCAACUUCACACCUUCUUCUUCUAAAACAUACUUGGAGUCCACACUAAACUCAAUCUUAAUUUUUUCUUGAAUCUUUAGAAGAAGAAAAUAGGUUAUCAUUCAAACCCAAAUCAACAAGAACACAAGAGAUGAAUGGAAGAAAUUAAUCAACCAUUUUUCAAAAAACUGACUUGGAAAUCAAAGGAGAAUUUUCUUGGCAACCAAACACUUCCAAUUUGGAUUAGACCUCAAAGGGAGUGAGAAAAAUAGUUGUUGGUGUUCUCCACUCCCUAAAAUAGAAAUAUUUAUUUAAAUAAGUUGAAGUAUUCCUGAUCCAAUGACUGAAGAAUGAUUCAACAAAAAAUAAAUUGAUCCUACAUAAAUUUGGAUCGAUCUUGGAACAUGGCACAAAAAUACUUAUCCAAAAAAAUGUUUGCCCAAGUCUCCCAAAGCUUCUUUAAAAGAUUUUCAUUAAUUUGAAAAACUUUGUUGGUUUAAUUUCAUCCAUAUCACAACCCCGACUACAUACCUUAACCUCUAAACACUUACAAUAACUAGUUCAAUGAAGGAUUUGAUAGACCUGGGAGAAUACUUAGAAGUUUUCACCUAAAAUUGUCAAUCUAAGUAAAACAAUCACAUGUAUGUUAAGAGAUUUUCAUCCUUAAGGUUUAUAUAUUUUCGUUUAGAUUUUAUUUUAUUUGAUCCUUUGUGUUACAAAACAAUUAUUUGUAAUGGUCUUAUUUCAAAAUUAGAUAAAUGAUUGAAUAGGAAACAUUAUUCAUUGAUGGUUUAAUGGUUAGAUCAUUGUUUGAAUCACAAUCAAAAGAAUAUAUAUAAUCUAAUUUUUUUUAAUAAUAUUUCAUUUUUAUAUUAGAUGUUGUUAAAUUAAAUGAUAAAAAUAAAGUAAAUGCAUUAAUAUUUUUAAUUUUAUUAAAUAAAACAUGUAUGAUAUUUAAGUGUAAAAAUAUAUUUAAGAUGAAAGAAAAGUUAUAAUUUUUAAUUUUAUCUACAUUUCAAAAGUUAUAUAUCUUAUUAUUUUAUAAUUUUUAGAAAUUAGUUUAUUAUUUAACUUAUAUUAUUUUCAUACUUACCAUUAUAAAAUUAAAUGUGAAGGUAAAUAUUUAUGUUUGUUUAUAUAUAUAGCGUAUGUAUGUGUGUGUAUUAUAUUUUAUAGCAAUAUCUAAUAAAGUGAUCUCAUAGUUCAAUGGUUCAAUUAUCUCGUGGCUCGAGUCUUGCUAACGCAAAAAAAAAGAAAAAAAAUUCGCACCUUAUAAGCAAUCUCAUGCAUAAGAUUAUGAAAUUGAUAGGUUGUAUAGACACAUUACAACAAAUAUAAGCAGUGGUAGGUUGCUAGCAUUAUUGGGCCAAAAGGUGCAAUUACACAUUAUCAUUUUGGGUCAAAUAAGACUUGAUUGAUUCUUAGAGAACAGACCAAUCUGUCUAGUUCGAACAAUUUAACACUACUUUAACUCAUAAGCUACUCAAUUAAGCUAAUCGAAUUGGAUAGGUCAACGGUCUAGUCGUUUCAGUGCAAUUUUUAAAACCUUAAUAUGCACGAAUAACUUUUAAUCUCUAUUUGAGAAAAAUAGAAUAUCAUGUUAAUUUCAUGACUUCUGAAUUCAAUGGGAUGUUGUGGUUCAAACAUAUUACGAUGGUAAUGAUGCUUCUCGUAUUUAUAAACUUAUUGUUAGGAUUAUGUGUAAAUGAAUAUAAGAAAGCAAAUAUAAUGGAGGAGCAAUUGCAUAUAAAAGUAGAUAGAGAUAACGAAUAGAAAAAUGCAAGCAUGGGCCUUUAUAGUAGUUUAAUGCAACCCAACCUGCAUCCACUCUCCUCAAGCUUCAACAUUAAGUGUUCCGCUAACAAUACUUCCAACCAAAGCCUUCAAGUUUUGCCCUUGGAUUGUGGCUUUAAGGGAUCCUUUAUGACCAUAAGCCUUUUAAAACCAAAGUCUCCAAACUAUCUCCCUUGGAUUAUGGUUCCAAUGAACCCUCUCAAAAGAUACCCUACUCUUGAGUCCUCCAAUGAUCCUACAAUAGAUAUCCUCACAAGGUAUACAAAUGAAACAUAAAUAAGAUCCUAGUUAAUAGUUUUGGCUUAAAUUGGAUACAAAAAAACUAGGAUUGAGAGGUUUCCUAAGACGAAAUGUAAGUUUUGAAGCAAAAUGCAAUCAAACACAUAACUCCUCAUUCAAUACAAGAAGUUUAGGGCCUUUAAACAUGGGUUAGAAGCCUAAACUUGUCGUUGGAAAAAUUUGGGGUUGAUUGAUCAUCCAACUAGUUAAAUCUUACUACUAGCCAUUGAAGAAUUGUAGGUGAUCAUUAGGUCAUAGGAGUUUAACCAGUUAAUCUACCAAUUCAAUCCAUCCUUGACUAAUUGAGGCUCAAACUUAAUCAAUUAAAAUUGCUUUCUAGACCUUAGGAGGACAUUUGGCCCCCUUGACGAGUUGAACCAUUCCGACUCAACCAAUUCCUAUAUAUCUCAAUCGAUUUGAUGAAAAUGCAAGUUUUGAUAUCAAAAUGAGGUUGAGAAACAACAAUUAUUAACUUCCAUUUGUUGGGAUUUUUAAACAAAAUUUCGAAGAAGCUAUAAUAUUAUUUAAAAGCACUAACUACAAUUUGGAAUUAAUGGAAAUUAUACAAAAAUAAAAUAAAAUUAAAACUUGAAAAUAUGAGAAAUUUGAGGAGAAUACUAAGAGUGUGAGGUUUGUACCCUCCUAAUUUUGUACUUUUGUGAAUUUUUUUUUUAAAAUUCUACUUGCAAUAGCUAUAAUAUUAUAUAAAAAUACUAGUUACACUUAAGAUUAAUGGAAAUUAUGCACACAAAAAUUAAAACUUAAAAAUACUUAAAAAUUGAGAAGGGCAUGAAAAAUGUGAAAAUUUUCACUUUUUGGAAAUUUUAAAAUUCUUUUCCAUUUCCAAUAAUAUUAUUUAAAAAACUAAUCACACUUACAAUUGAUGAAAUUAUGCACAAAAAUUUAAAAUUUGGAAAUACUUAAAAAUUGGGGAAGCUUCAUGCCCUCUAAAUUUUGUAAUUUUUUUAAUUUGAUUUUUUUUUUCACUUCAAAUGGCUAUGAUAUUAUUUAUGCACACUAAUUACGCUUAACAUUGAUGGAAUUUAUGAAAAUAAAUUAAAAGGUUAAAAUACUUAGAAGUUCAUUAGGGCAUGAAAAAUGUGGAGAAUCCUCUUUUAAUUUUAAUUUCCAAAAUUUUCAACUUUUUUAAUUAAUUUUUUUUCCACUUCUAGUAGCUCUAAUAUUACUUAGGCAUCCUAAUCACAAUGAUCAUAACUUUUUCACUUGGUACUUUUUAUACCCUUCAAAUUUUACAUGUUUGUCUUAUUUAAAAAAAAAAAAUUCUUCAAAAAAUACUUUCAAUAUUUCAUCCAAUAUUCUCCAUAAAAAAUGGAAAUUAUAAUAAAAAAAUUUAAUAAUAUAAUUUUCGGUUAUUAUUUGAUAGAUUACCAAUUUAAUUUUUUAACAAUAAACAUUUAUUUUAAUUUAUUUAUAAAUGAUUUUUUUUCACAAAGUCUUAAUGUUAUAAUUUUAUACCAUAUAAUUAGUAGCAACUUUGAUUUUCUUACACAAAAUUUUUAUUUUUACAAAACUUUAAUUUGUUUACAACUUUUAUAAAAGUACUUAUUAAAUGAUAUAAUUGGAUGUUGCAAACAUAUCUUAAAUGUUAUGUGCAUGGAAUUCGUACCAUCUGGUUGGAGGUAUCAGGUAUGGUCAUAAAAAGUACAUCUGAGUUAUGACCCACAUGGAAAUGUUAUGGUAAUAAAAACUACAUUAAGGGUUUUUUUCCCCAAUUUGUUGUAGAUGUCAAAAAAUAAAUAAAUAAAUAAAAUAAAAUAAAAAAGCCAGCCAUCAACGGCUCCAUAGUCUCUCGAGGCAUUGUAAGCAGCAUUGAGCGUUCACAUUAGAGAGAGAAACAAAAUAUGAGGAAAAACCUUCAUAAUUUAUUCAUUUGUCAAUGGAGCCUACACAAGUCAAUGGAUUCCCAAAAUUUGGACGAAGAAAAGUGGAAACUUCGUGUGUACCUUCAGGCUCAAGAUGCGUCAUUUCUGGUCACUCACUCUCCAAAACACGCAAAGAAAAGGGGGGAAAGCAGAGUGUGGUUUCGAAGCUGUUAUGUCGCACCGAGUAAUGAUCUUGUGAGGAAGGGGGUUUGUCACUCUACAUUAAUAUAUCGCACCUGCAUCUAUACUUCAUCUAUAUGCAUUCAUUUUUGUUUCUCUCCAAACCACAAGUGAUUUCAUUUGUUAGUUCUGGUGCUCAGGCGCUCAACCGCAGAUAGUGAGACACUGCAAGAGACUUCCACUGGCCCUGGAAGUGGUUGGCAGAUCACUCCAUGGGCAGCCUGUAGAGGUCUGGAGAAGCCGACUGAUGAAACUAUCUGAAGGUCAAUCCGUUGUCGAUUCUGAAGCUGAUCUGCGUAAAUGUCUCCAGAGUAGCUUAGACGCCCUAAAUGACGAGGAUGUUAUGCUGAAGGAGUGUUUUAUGGACUUGGGCUCCUUUCCUCAAGACCAGAAAAUCCCUGCCACUGCUCUUAUAGAUAAAGAUGGGGUUGAUGCCAUUGCCAACCUUCAAAAACUCUCCUCCUGGAGUCUGCUUAAUCUUGUGGUCACGAGGUACACAGACUUGCUAUUUGUAUUUAAAUUAAAUGAUCGUUUUUCUUGUAAUUAGUUUGUUCACAGAAUGGUAUCCCAUAAAUAAUCUAAUAAUUUUGUCUAUCAACACUAGCAUGGGAGGGCUCCAAGUUCCAACUGCUUUUUUUUUUUUUUUUUUUCAAUUUCAAAUAAGUUUUAAUAAGCACUAAUAAUUAAAGACAAAGAAUUGAAUUAUUAAGUUGUCUUUUUGAAUACUUCUUAUUUUUUAUUUUUAAAAAUAAAAAAUGAUAAUAGCUCCACAAAAAAGGGGAGAAUUUUUUUAGACUUAAGACUUCAAAAAAACAAUAAUUUCAAAAGCUACUUUAAGACUUAUAAUAUUCUAUAAAGAUGUUACAACUAUUUUUUACUUUUAUAACAAAAAACGGAGAUUUUUUUUAUUUUAAAAAUAAAAAAUAAUAGUACUUUCUACAUAAAACAGAGGAAUUUUUAGAAACAUAAAAGAUUAAAAAAUUCAAGCUAUUGAAUUUUUUUUUAUUAUAUUAAAUUUUAAGGUUUGGAAGGGUAAUUUUUAAAGGUAUAUAUGGUAAGUUUUUGUAUAAAAAUUCCUUCUUUUUAUUUAAAAAAAUAAAAACAGAAAAUGGAAAUAAGAAGAUAAAGGCAAACUACAGCGUUUGCCUUCUCGUUUCUCAAGUCGACGUAAAGUCAAUCACAGCAGAUACCCGAAAUUUCCAUGAAGUACAGUGGAAACUCCUUGGCUACCUUCAAGUUCCAGAGCUCACUAGCCAAAACACAGUAGGAGAAGGGAGAAACCAACGUCUGAUUUCGAAUCUAUAUGUUGUAAUAUUGUUUUGUUUUGAGGGGAAUUUAAAACUAGGACUCAGAUUGGCUCUUAUUUUCUAUUCAAGUAUCUUGAUUUCUUUUCUGUUUCCUACAACUUUUCUCAGCUAGCAAACACAAAACUCCUUAUUUUGGGGGUUGUGGUGAGGAGAUACUGAUGUCUGCGGAGCUUGUUGGAGGGUCUGCUUUGGGAGCAGGAUUUGGGAAGUUGAUCACGGCGGUUCUAGAUGCACGGAAGAAGAUAACUCAGUUCGACUCCAGCCUCAAAAAACUCGAAGAGAGACUCAAUUCCAUAACUCCAAGUAUCGUAGAGGUGAAAAAGUUCAUGGACCAGUCGAAUCAUCCAAGGGUGGAAUUGGAGAAGUUAAUCCAAAUCUUAAAAGAUGGGGAGAAGCUAAUCCACAAGUGCUCCGAGGUCUCUAGUUGCGACUACUUCAAUAAUUGGAGGUACGCCAAUAAAAUUAAGGCCUUGGAUGGCUCAAUUGAAAAAAAUUUUCAGGUGGAAAUGCAAGUCAUACAACUUUGGAGCACCACGGUCCUGCCCAAAUCAAAUAGAUUGAGUUUGAGUAACAGAGGGGUUUCCGAUAACUAUGAAAGUUUGGGUUCCUGUGAGGCUACUGAUCCGCCGGCUUUUAUGGUGGGACUAGAUGUGCCUCUCAAAGAAUUGAAGAGGCGGCUGUUUACGGAUGGGGAAUCAAGGAUUGUGGUGUCGGCUCCUGGAGGAUGUGGGAAAACCACUUUGGCUAAAAGGCUUUGUCACGACCAACAAGUCAAGGGUAUUCCUACAAAAUCUUGCUUUCUUUUCUUUCCCUUCAUGUUAGUAAACCAAAUAUGAAAUAUUCCAUGGUAUACAAGUGAAAUUCAUCCAAAAAUCUUUUUUGGUCUAAUGAAAUAUUGUAUGAACUCAUUGCUAAAUCACUUCUUUCUACCAUUUUGAACAGAAUAUUUUACGGACAUUUGCUAUGUCACGGUAUCAAAAACAUGCGACCUAAUUGGCAUCAUCAAGAAACUAUUUUGGCAUAAUGCUGAACGAGUGCAGGGGUUUCAAAGUGAGGAAGAUGCAGUCAACCAAUUGGAACUAAUGCUGAAGAGGAAAGUAGAAUCUGGUCGUAUACUGUUGGUCCUAGAUGACGUUUGGUCUGGGUCGAAAUCUGUCCCAGACAAGUUUAAGUUCCAAAUAUCGAAAUUCAAGGUUCUGGUUACAUCUAGAAAUGAAUUUCCAGGAUUUGGUUCUACAUAUAACUUGAAAUUGUUGAGUGAAGAAGAUGCCAAGACUCUUUUUUGUCACUCAGCAAUCCCUGAGGAUGGGAGCCGUUCUUCCAUGCCCAGUGAAGAACUUGUGAAUGGGGUGGUUUCUCACCCUACAUUAAUUUAUCACACCUGCAUUCCUUUUUGUUUCCCUGCAAACCAGAACUAAUUUUAUUUGGUGCUGGUGCUGAACUGCAGAUAGUGAGGCGCUGCAAGGGAUUUCCACUGGCCCUGGAAGUGGUUGGCAGAUCCCUCCAUGAGCAGCCUGUAGAGAUCUGGAGAAGCACACUGAUGAAAUUAUCUGAAGGUGAAUCCAUUGUCAAUUCUGAAGAUGAACUGCGUAAUUGUCUUCAAAGUAGCUUAGAUGCCCUUGAUGACAAGGAUAUUAUGCUGAAGGAGUGUUUUAUGGACUUGGGUUCAUUUCCUGAAGACCAAAAAAUCCCUGCCACUGCUCUUAUAGAUAUGUGGGCGGAAUUGCACAAUCUAGAUAAAGGCGGCAUUUAUGCCAUUUCCAACCUUCACAAACUCUGCUCUCGGAAUCUGCUUAAUCUUGUGGUCACAAGGUACACAGGCUUGCUAUUUGUCUUUAAAGCAGUAACUUUUUGUCUUUUUUGUCUUUAUAAUCUUAUAAUUUAGUCUACAUUUUAUGCAAUUAGUAAUGUUCUAUUACAAUCGCUAUAGAGAAAAGAAAUCUAUUAACGCUAGCAUUGAAGGGGGAUUCCAACUCCUGCUAAUUUCUGCAAUUUUUACCCCAUUUGUUUUGGAGAUGGUCAAAUCACAUGAGCACAAAAAUAAAAUAAGACUUAUAUUUCUUGAUUUGCAAUUAUAUUCUUCAAUCCAUAGUAUCACUCUAACCAAUUUCUGUAGGUCCUCCAGGAAUGAUGCAAAUGAGAUUGAUUGGUGCUACAAUGAUGCCUUUGUCAUGCAGCAUGAUCUUCUCAGGGAUCUAGCCAUUUAUCAGAGCGAACAGGAGCCCAUAGAAAAGAGGAAAAGACUAAUAGUGGACUUGACAGGAAACAGACUCCCCGAGUGGUGGACUAAAGAGAAGCAACCCCGAUCAAGUGCUCGUCUUGUGUCCAUCUCCACAGGUCCCCCUCUUAUCUCUUUCUAUUUCUCAUUAUUGGAAUCUAAUAUUUCAUACGGUAUUUGGCAUUACUUCUUUCCCUACCUUCUGACACUUUAUAUAGGAUAUUCUGUAGAUGAAAUGUUCUCCUCAAGCUGGUGUAGCAUGCAACUUCCUGAAGCUGAGGCUCUAAUACUGAACUUUAAUCAGACAGAAAAGAAAUACGAAUUGUCAGAGUUCAUGAAGCAAAUGGAUGAACUGAAGGUUCUAGUAGUAACAAAUUAUGGUUUCUGCACGGCUGAAUUGACUAAUUUUUCAGUACUUGGUUCCUUAUCCAAUCUAAAGAGAAUCAGGUUAGAGAAAGUUUCAAUUCCAACACUAUGCAAAACCAGUAUAGAAUUGAAGAAUCUGGAGAAGCUAUCCUUAGUUAUGUGUCAUAAGAUUGGUCUGGCUUUUGCAAGUAGUACCAUCCAGAUUCCAGAAAUGUUACCCAACCUUAGGGAAAUCAACAUUGAUUACUGUAAUGACUUGGUGGAAUUACCAGAAGGGUUUUGUGAUUUAAUCCAACUGAAUAAGCUGGGCAUCAGCAACUGCCAUAAGCUGUCUUCACUGCCGGAAGGAAUAGGGAAGCUUACAAAUCUGGAAGUGCUAAGGGUUAGUUCCUGUACAUUGGUGUCAAAAUUGCCAGACUCAAUGGGAAGCCUCCACAAGUUGAGGGUUCUUGAUAUAACUGGUUGUUUACUAAUAAGGAAAAUGCCGAAACAAAUAGGCGAGUUGCGCAGUCUAAGAGAGUUCCACAUGAGAAGGUGCCAGUGUUUGUGCGAGCUGCCAUUAUCAGUGACGGAUCUCGUGGAUUUGAAGAGGGUAAUCUGCGAUGAAGAGACUGCCCAGCUGUGGGAAUGUUUUACGCACUUGCUCCCCGAUCUCACUCUAUUAGUGCCUGAAGAAAUUAUCAACUUGAAUUGGCUUUAAAAUACUGGUUGUUGAGAUAUUAGGAAUGUUUUUCUUAUAUCAUUCUUUCCUUGUAUCAUUUAGUGUUGAGAUAUUCGAAAUGUUUAGAUAUUAGGAAAGUUGAGAUAUUAAGAAUAUUGAGAUAUUAGGAAAGUUGAGAUAUUAGGAUAUUAGUUGUUAUUUCCUUAUAUCAUUCUUUCAUUGUAUCAUUCUUUCUCAUUCUUAGAAUGGUGAUUACCCUCUAUAUAUACUCUGUACAUGAACAAAUGAAAGAAAGAAUGAAAAAACUACCAUUUAUCAAUUUGAAGAUGGUAUCAGAGCCAUGGAAUUGAAAUCCUGGAUAUUUUGUCGCUAUGGUAGUCCGACAACAGUCAACCAUCCUAAGACAAGCCCUAAUAUUAAUAAGUCAACCUUCAAAUGCACUCACUGCAAUAAGACUGAUCCCACCAGUUUGGAUAUCCCACAAUUUCAAAGCAAUGACUCUUGGUAUGACCAGGAAAACAAUGAGGAACCAAGGGUUUGAACCAUGGACCUUUAGAUCAUGUUUAGGCUAUCACCACUUUGUUAUUAAUGAUAAUAAUCGUAAUCAACGGAAGAAGGAUUCCAAGAAAACCUCGACUGCAACUGUUGCCGAAAUAAAAACAAAAGCUAAUGUUGCUAAGAAAGCCUCUGCAUUGGUAGCCGCUACAGAUUAUGGUGGUAAGUUUCUAAAUACUUUUACACCUAUUAUUAAUAGUGCAUGGAUAAUUGAUUCUGGUGCUAUAGAUCAUAUGACUUUUGAUUCCAGACAAGUUUCACCCCUUAGACCUUCUUCACAAAAAAUUGUUUUCACAGCUAAUGGUAACACAACCCCAGUCAUUGGGGAAGGAACCUUAACCCUUACUGAUACUUUGAAUUUGGAUUCUGUUUUAGUUGUUCCAUCUCUAGAUUACAAUCUUUGUCAGUUUCUCAAAUCACUACAGUCUUAUAUUGUAUUAUCAUUUUUUGGCCUGAAUUUUGUGUGAUUAAGGACAUCCAAACAAAAUAGACCAUUGGUUGUGGUAUUAAGUAGGGAAAACUCUAUUACUUGGACUUGCAGUUAAAAGAUUUAAAUAAGUUGCAACAAGCCUAGAUGGCAGAUGGAUCUGAUGAGGAGAAAAAAAAGUCUGAAAUUUGGUUGUGGCAUCGACGUCUGGGACAUGCUUCCUUUGGUUAUUUAAAAAAAUUGUUUUCUAAUUUGUUUGCAAAGAGUGAUAUUUUUUGUUUCCGUUGUGAUAUUUGUGAAUUAGCUAAAAGUCAUCGUGCUUCGUUUCCGUUAAUUUUGAAUAAAAGUCUGCUUCCUUUUAUAGUUAUACAUUCUGAUGUUUGGGGCUCAUCCAAAGUCCCAACUUUGAGUGGCUCACGUUGGUUUGUUACUUUUAUUGAUGAUUGUAUCAUAAUGACAUGGUUAUGCUUGAUGAAAACCAAAGAUGAAGUGAACUUGUUGUUUCAAAAAAUUCAUAAAAUGAUUGAAACUCGGUACAAUGCAAAUGUUCGGGUUUUACGUAGUGAUAAUGGUGGAGAAUAUUAGAGUUCUGAUCUUCAAAAGUAUUUGGAAGAACAUGACAUCAUUCAUUAGACUACUUGUUCUAAUACACCCCAGCAAAAUGGAGUCGCUAAACGGAAAAAUCGGCACUUGUUAGAGGUUGUUCGUGCUUCCUUGAUAGCAUCAAAAAUAUCGAUAUCUUAUUGGGGAGAAGCAAUCACAUCUGCCACAUACUUGAUCAAUCGGGUAUCUUCUAGCUCAAUUAACUUCCAAACACCUCUUCAAGCUCUUACUAAUGUCGUAGUUGUCCCAACCGUCCCAAAUCUACCUCCUCGUGUUUUUGGUUGCAUGGCAUUUGUGCAUCUACACAAACACCAACGCACCAAGUUAACUUCUCAUGCAUUACAAUGUGUGUUUGUUGGAUAUGCAUUGCACAAAAAGGGAUAUCGAUGUUACCAUCCUCCAACUCAACGAAUGUUUAUUACAAUGGAUGUGGUGUUUCAUGAAGAUUUGAUGUAUUUUUCAUCUAAGUCUGAACUUCAAGGGAAGUACCAUAAGGAAAUUCAGACUCUCGAUUAUGAUUAUCAUAUCUUUGAGGAGGAUGAAUCUAGACAAUCUAAACUAGUGAACCAGGAAGCGGGUGAGUUGGAUAUGAGUGGUCAACAAUUUGGGUCUGAAGAUGUCUUCACUGAAAUACCAAACCAAUCGUCGUCUGCUGAGGGUGUUCUUAAUUUGGAACCUGAUCCAUUCAUGAAACGGUUACCACACCGUCAUAAUAGAGGUAUUCCUAAACCCACAUAUGAACCUGAAUUUUCUACCAAAGUCAAAUAUCCCAUGAAUAAUUAUGUGUCUAACCAUCGUUUGUCUGAAUCAAAUAAGUCCUUUGUAAAUCAAUUAUCUACUGUGGCUAUUCCUAACAAUGUGCAAGAAGCCUUAGCUGAUCCAAAGUGGAAAGCAGUCAUGAAUGAAGAGAUGAAAUCAUUGCAGAAUAAUGAAACAUGAGAACUCGUAGAAUGUCCACCACAAAAGAAGCCAGUUGGGUGUUGUUGGAUCUAUACUGUGAAGUAUAAGGCAGAUGGUAGUAUUGAACGAUUUAAAGUAAGACUGGUAGCAAAAGGGUACACUCAAACUUAUGGAAUUGACUACACAGAGACAUUUUCACCUGUAACUAAGAUCAACACAGUUCGAGUAUUACUGUCUUUAGCUGCAAACCUAGAUUAGCCAUUACAACAGUUCGAUGUGAAAAAUGUCUUUCUGCAUGGCGAGUUAUCUGAAGAAGUAUAUAUGGAUCUUCCACCAAGAUGCAUGGUGUCAGAAAAACAAUGUCAGAAGGUGUGCAAAUUGAAGAAGUCAUUGUAUGGGUUGAAGCAAUCCCCGAGAGCAUGGUUUGGAAGGUUCACAAAAUCAAUGAGAGCUUUGGCUAUCGUCAAAGUAAUUCAGAUCACACUUUGUUCCUGAAAAAGCAACAUGAUAAGAUUACGACACUUAUUGUAUAUGUGGAUGGCAUGGUAGUUACAGGAAAUGAUCUUGAAGAAAGAAAAGUUUUGCAAAAUUAUCUAUUUAGAGAAUUUGAAAUGAAAGAUCUAAGUUUUCUGAAAUACUUUCUUGGGAUUGAAGUUUCUCGAUCAAGUGAAGGAAUUUUUCUGUCUCAAAGAAAGUAUGCCUUAAAUCUUUUAUAGGAGACUGGAAUGUCGGGAUGUCAACCUGUUAAUACACCAAUAGAAAAAGGUUUGAAAUUGUGUGUUGAGCCUAAUCAAGUAUCAACCGAUAAGGGAAAAUACCAGAGACUUGUGGGGAGAUUAAUGUACUUAGCUCAUAUAAGACCAGAUCUUGCUUAUGCAUUGAGUGUAGUGAGUCAAUACAUGCAUAAUCCUGGAGAGCAACAUAUGAAUGCAGUCAUGCGUAUUUUGAGGUAUUUGAAGAAUGCUCCUAGGAGGGGAAUUUUGUUCGCUAAAAAUAUUGAUCAUCAAAGUAUAGAAGUAUAUAUUGAUGUUGAUUAGGCCGGUGCAGUGGAUGAUAGACGAUCUACAUCUGGUUACUUUACCUUUGUAGGUGGUUAUCUUGUGACAUGGAAAAGUAAGAAGUAGAAUGUCGUCGCUUGUUCAAGUGCAGAAGCGGAAUUUAGAGGUAUGACUCUAGGACUUUGUGAGGCAUUAUGGCUAAGACUCCUCUUACAGGAUUUAGGUUACCUAUCUAGGCAACCAAUCUGAUUGUUUUGUGACAAUAAAGCUGCAUGUGACAUUGCUCAUAAUCCAGUACAACAUGAUCGUACAAAGCAUGUCGAGGUGGAUAAAUUCUUCACUAAGGAAAAGUUGGAUGAUAAGAUUGUGGAAUUGCCUAAGAUUCGAUCAGAAGAUCAAUUGGCCGAUAUCCUCACCAAAACUGUCUCAAGUCAAGUGUUCUCAAAAUUUUUAGAUAAGUUGGGCAUGUGUGACAUCUAUGUACCAACUUGAGGGGGAGUGUUGAGAUAUUAGGAAUGUUUUCCUUAUAUCAUUCUUUCCUUGUAUCAUUUAGUGUUGAGAUAUUAGGAAUGUUUAGAUAUUAGGAAAGUUGAGAUAUUAGAAAUAUUGAGAUAUUAGGAAAGUUGAGAUAUUAGGAUAUUAGUUGUUAUUUCCUUAUAUCAUUCUUUCUUUGUAUCAUUCUUUCCCAUUCUUAGUAUAUACUCUGUACAUGAACGAAUGAAAGAAUGAAUGAAAAAACUACCAUUUAUCAAUUUGAAGACUGGUUUCUGAAAAACUUUCAUCCUUCAAAGUUGUAGAACGGACGCCUAAUUAUAUUCAAACAAUGUGGACUUGUAAAAUGGGAAGCAGUUCUAUUCGACGUGUGAAAUCUAGUGAUGAUUACAAGAAGCUGUGGUGCCAUAAUUCAUCGGCUAUUUGUCAUAUUUGGUUCGGGCUUCAAUCAAGGAAUGCAUUUUCCUGCACCCCAUCCUCAAUGCCAACUUUGGUUGGCAUUAAGGGAAAUUUCGUGUGAACUUUUUUCACACAAAAACUGAAUCCAGUUGGAGGUUAGUUUAAAAUGGGACUUGAUACUGAUUCGGGUUGGCCAAGGCACAGGCUCGUAUCAACCUAUGAAGUUCAUCGACCACAAAGAUCGAAAAUGGAUUCGGUUGCAUUUCUUAACCUGGAAAUUCCUAUUCUAGCAAGGCAUAUCAAAACUGGCGGUUGACAGGUGUGAACAAUGUUGCGGAUGAAUCUUCACUAUGGAUUAUACCUAAAACAUUAUUUAGAAUUUUUUGUUUUUAUUUUUUUAUAUCAAUUCUUUUUUAUAGUGAGACUAAAUCACAUGUAAGAAUUUACA